CUGACGUCACCAUGUUUCUCACAUAGACAACUCUACGUUGGAUGCUCAAGAAUGGGGAACAAUAAGGGCCUAUUUAUCCUUGCCAGUGAAAGAAAAACAAGAACAGAUCGUUCAUAAGGAAGUCCUAAUGUAAAACAGAUGUUGUCACUUGAUUCCUGGUGGUCUGAAUGACGUCUGUUUUGACGUAAGUGAAAAGAAGGAAAAUCAUGCCCUCGUUUUGUGUGGAGUCAUCAAUAUGUGAACCAGGAUAAUGGAAUGGAACACGACAUAGCGCAAAGCUGCGUCCACCGCUGGAAUCGUGGACCGAAUUCUAGCGUUACAAAUCCUCUGAACCAUCAUGAGACUGUUGAAUGAUAAUGAAAGUUUAAUACAAAUUUCCUAAGCAGUGCCCGUUAUAUUAUCCAGUAUCUGGAUUUGCCAAUUUCAACUGUUAAUAAGGCUCUUUGACCAAUUUUGUGAAUGUUUCCUUACAAAAUGUAUCAUAUUCAAACACUGAAAGAGAGACGAGUUUAACCCGAUGUGUUGAUUUUGUAGUUUUUGACAAGAAGAAAUUCGACGACCAAUUGCCUGCCAUGCUCUUGUGCACUAAUGAAGCAAACUUUUCCGUUUUGAAGUGUAAAAUGCGAAGUUGCACCAUCUGGAUAGAAAUUAAUUCACACGUAACAUUUCCUAUACAUAUCCAUGAUGCUAAAGUCAGAGUGUGGUGUGGUUUCACAGUUGACUUUACUACUUCUUUCAAGAACCAUCAUUAGACGAACUUGAAAUCUGUAUAAUGAAUGCUGCACAGUAUCAUGCAAUGCCACAGCCAAUGUGAUUCUCCUGUUGCAGUGAUGUAGCAAUGAGUUGUAAUUAACAUAACAGUUGUCAUACAGAAAUAUGCUCCUACUAUAUUGGUAACAAGAUAACAUGUCUUGUGGGAGCACUUUCAGGAUAAAAUCAUUUCAUGUCACUUCCCUUAUGAAUGGCCACUUUGUUCAUGAGAUCUACUAAGUGCUCCUCUAGUUCAUUUAUAUUUUAAAAGGGUAAGAAGAGGUUAGAAAAUUAAAUAUUGAAAUAGAGAUCU